GGCUACACACGUGCUACAAUGGGUAGUACAGAGAGUCGCAAAGCCGCGAGGUGGAGCUAAUCUCAGAAAACUAUUCUUAGUUCGGAUUGUACUCUGCAACUCGAGUACAUGAAGUUGGAAUCGCUAGUAAUCGCGAAUCAGCAAUGUCGCGGUGAAUACGUUCUCGGGUCUUGUACACACCGCCCGUCACACCACGAGAGUUGGUUGCACCUGAAGUAGCAGGCCUAACCGCAAGGAAGGAUGCUCCGAGGGUGUGAUUAGCGAUUGGGGUGAAGUCGUAACAAGGUAUCCGUACGGGAACGU
rnacentral:rRNA from 1 species